UAACUGAAGAGUUUGAUCAUGGCUCAGAUUGAACGCUGGCGGCAGGCCUAACACAUGCAAGUCGAGCGGAUGAGAGGAGCUUGCUCCUCGAUUCAGCGGCGGACGGGUGAGUAAUGCCUAGGAAUCUGCCCAGUAGUGGGGGACAACGUUUCGAAAGGAACGCUAAUACCGCAUACGUCCUACGGGAGAAAGUGGGGGAUCUUCGGACCUCACGCUAUUGGAUGAGCCUAGGUCGGAUUAGCUAGUUGGUAGGGUAAAGGCCUACCAAGGCGACGAUCCGUAACUGGUCUGAGAGGAUGAUCAGUCACACUGGAACUGAGACACGGUCCAGACUCCUACGGGAGGCAGCAGUG
rnacentral:rRNA from 1 species